rnacentral:rRNA from 1 species
AUGAACGCUGGCGGCGUGCCUAAUACAUGCAAGUCGAGCGAACGGACGAGAAGCUUGCUUCUCUGAUGUUAGCGGCGGACGGGUGAGUAACACGUGGAUAACCUACCUAUAAGACUGGGAUAACUUCGGGAAACCGUAGCUAAUACCGGAUAAUAUUUUGAACCGCAUGGUUCAAAAGUGAAAGACGGUCUUGCUGUCACUUAUAGAUGGAUCCGCGCUGCAUUAGCUAGUUGGUAAGGUAACGGCUUACCAAGGCAACGAUGCAUAGCCGACCUGAGAGGGUGAUCGGCCACACUGGAACUGAGACACGGUCCAGACUCCUACGGGAGGCAGCAGUAGGGAAUCUUCCGCAAUGGGCGAAAGCCUGACGGAGCAACGCCGCGUGAGUGAUGAAGGUCUUCGGAUCGUAAAACUCUGCUAUUAGGGAAGAACAUAUGUGUAAGUAACUGUGCACAUCUUGACGGUACCUAAUCAGAAAGCCACGGCUAACUACGUG